CAAAAGGGAAAAAAAAUCCCAUCUAUUUUUCAUCGGUUUCUUUCAUCUUCUUCCUUCUUCUCUGUGCAUGUUACGAAAUCGAUUGAUCACUCCAGCAUCUCCUCCAAAUCCGUCAAUGAAAUCACGAUGAAGAUUUGGUGCCAUCAAGACUUUGUGCCAUCGGCUUGGUUCCAUCGAUUUGGAUCCAAAACUCGUUGUAUUCGAAAGACUCGGGAGAGAGGAAGAACAUGGACGUUGUUACUUAUGAGUUAAAAAAAAUUACUGUUAAUUCGGUCAAGUGGCCAGGAAUGAAAAUAUGAACACGUCAAGGUAGAACGGUAGAACCUAUGAAUAGUUGAUUAUAGAUCGCAUACAAUGUGUCUUAUCUCAUCACCUUACCAACCAAGGCUAAGUACUUGAAGAUCAAUUUAGUCAGUUCGGAACGGGAAAUUGAACUCUUCCAACUUUAAGUUGGACCACCCAAAUCUGAAUCGAUAAAUGGAUUGUUUAUUGCUUGUAAUCUUUUUGUUUUGACUUGUUACUUUCAAGUUUAAGAAAUAAGAUUACUGUCGAUUUGUCAAA